UACAGAGGGUGCAAACGUUGCUCGGAAUUAUUGGGCGUAGAGCGCACGUAGGCGGCCUGUUAUGUCGGGUGUGAAAUCCCUCGGCUUAACCGAGGAAGUGCAUUCGAAACUGGCAGGCUUGAAUACUCAAGAGGGUCUCGGAAUUCCCGGUGUAGAGGUGAAAUUCGUAGAUAUCGGGAGGAACACCAGUGGCGAAGGCGGAGACCUGGGGAGAUAUUGACGCUGAGGUGCGAAAGCGUGGGGAGCAAACAGG
rnacentral:rRNA from 1 species